rnacentral:rRNA from 1 species
AUUGAACGCUGGCGGCAUGCCUUACACAUGCAAGUCGAACGGCAGCACGGGUGCUUGCCCCUGGUGGCGAGUGGCGAACGGGUGAGUAAUACAUCGGAACAUGUCCUGUAGUGGGGGAUAGCCCGGCGAAAGCCGGAUUAAUACCGCAUACGAUCUACGGAUGAAAGCGGGGGCCCUUCGGGCCUCGCGCUAUAGGGUUGGCCGAUGGCUGAUUAGCUAGUUGGUGGGGUAAAGGCCUACCAAGGCGACGAUCAGUAGCUGGUCUGAGAGGACGACCAGCCACACUGGAACUGAGACACGGCCCAGACUCCUACGGGAGGCAGCAGUGGGGAAUUUUGGACAAUGGGCGAAAGCCUGAUCCAGCAAUGCCGCGUGUGUGAAGAAGGCCUUCGGGUUGUAAAGCACUUUUGUCCGGAAAGAAAUCCUUGGCUCUAAUACAGUCGGGGGAUGACGGUACCGGAAGAAUAAGCACCGGCUAACUACGUG